rnacentral:rRNA from 1 species
GAUGAACGCUGGCGGCGUGCCUAAUACAUGCAAGUCGAGCGAACGGACGAGAAGCUUGCUUCUCUGAUGUUAGCGGCGGACGGGUGAGUAACACGUGGAUAACCUACCUAUAAGACUGGGAUAACUUCGGGAAACCGGAGCUAAUACCGGAUAAUAUUUUGAACCGCAUGGUUCAAAAGUGAAAGACGGUCUUGCUGUCACUUAUAGAUGGAUCCGCGCUGCAUUAGCUAGUUGGUAAGGUAACGGCUUACCAAGGCAACGAUGCAUAGCCGACCUGAGAGGGUGAUCGGCCACACUGGAACUGAGACACGGUCCAGACUCCUACGGGAGGCAGCAGUAGGGAAUCUUCCGCAAUGGGCGAAAGCCUGACGGAGCAACGCCGCGUGAGUGAUGAAGGUCUUCGGAUCGUAAAACUCUGUUAUUAGGGAAGAACAUAUGUGUAAGUAACUGUGCACAUCUUGACGGUACCUAAUCAGAAAGCCACGGCUAACUACGUGCCAGCAGCCGCGGUAAUACGUAGGUGGCAAGCGUUAUCCGGAAUUAUUGGGCGUAAAGCGCGCGUAGGCGGUUUUUUAAGUCUGAUGUGAAAGCCCACGGCUCAACCGUGGAGGGUCAUUGGAAACUGGAAAACUUGAGUGCAGAAGAGGAAAGUGGAAUUCCAUGUGUAGCGGUGAAAUGCGCAGAGAUAUGGAGGAACACCAGUGGCGAAGGCGACUUUCUGGUCUGUAACUGACGCUGAUGUGCGAAAGCGUGGGGAUCAAACAGGAUUAGAUACCCUGGUAGUCCACGCCGUAAACGAUGAGUGCUAAGUGUUAGGGGGUUUCCGCCCCUUAGUGCUGCAGCUAACGCAUUAAGCACUCCGCCUGGGGAGUACGACCGCAAGGUUGAAACUCAAAGGAAUUGACGGGGACCCGCACAAGCGGUGGAGCAUGUGGUUUAAUUCGAAGCAACGCGAAGAACCUUACCAAAUCUUGACAUCCUUUGACAACUCUAGAGAUAGAGCCUUCCCCUUCGGGGGACAAAGUGACAGGUGGUGCAUGGUUGUCGUCAGCUCGUGUCGUGAGAUGUUGGGUUAAGUCCCGCAACGAGCGCAACCCUUAAGCUUAGUUGCCAUCAUUAAGUUGGGCACUUUAAGUUGACUGCCGGUGACAAACCGGAGGAAGGUGGGGAUGACGUCAAAUCAUCAUGCCCCUUAUGAUUUGGGCUACACACGUGCUACAAUGGACAAUACAAAGGGCAGCGAAACCGCGAGGUCAAGCAAAUCCCAUAAAGUUGUUCUCAGUUCGGAUUGUAGUCUGCAACUCGACUACAUGAAGCUGGAAUCGCUAGUAAUCGUAGAUCAGCAUGCUACGGUGAAUACGUUCCCGGGUCU